AUGAACGCUGGCGGCGUGCCUAAUACAUGCCAGUCGAGCGAACAGACGAGGAGCUUGCUCCUCUGACGUUAGCGGCGGACGGGUGAGUAACACGUGGAUAACCUACCUAUAAGACUGGGAUAACUUCGGGAAACCGGAGCUAAUACCGGAUAAUAUAUUGAACCGCAUGGUUCAAUAGUGAAAGACGGUUUUGCUGUCACUUAUAGAUGGAUCCGCGCCGCAUUAGCUAGUUGGUAAGGUAACGGCUUACCAAGGCAACGAUGCGUAGCCGACCUGAGAGGGUGGUCGGCCACACUGGAACUGAGACACGGUCCAGACUCCUACGGGAGGCAGCAGUAGGGAAUCUUCCGCAAUGGGCGAAAGCCUGACGGAGCAACGCCGCGUGAGUGAUGAAGGUCUUCGGAUCGUAAAACUCUGUUAUUAGGGAAGAACAAAUGUGUAAGUAACUAUGCACGUCUUGACGGUACCUAAUCAGAAAGCCACGGCUAACUACGUG
rnacentral:rRNA from 1 species